GACGAACGCUGGCGGCGUGCCUAACACAUGCAAGUCGAACGGAGUGUUUAUUUAUAAACACUUAGUGGCGAACGGGUGAGUAACGCGUAGACAACCUACCCUCUAGAUGGGGACAACACCGCGAAAGUGGUGCUAAUACCGAAUGUUGUAAUGUUAUUGCAUAAUGAUCUUACUAAAGGUGGCCUCUAAAUAUAAGCUACCGAUAGACUAUGGGUCUGGGUCUGAUCAGCUAGUUGGUGAGAUAACAGCUCACCAGGGCAAUGAUCAGUAGCCGGUCUGAGAGGAUGAACGGCCACACUGGGACUGAGACACGGCCCAGACUCCUACGGGAGGCAGCAGUGGGGAAUCUUCCGCAAUGGACGGAGGUCUGACGGAGCAACGCCGCGUGAGUGAAGAAGGUUUUCGGAUCGUAAAGCUCUGUCUUCAAGGACGAAUGUAGAUAUUGUGAAUAAUGAUAUUUAAUGACGGUACUUGAGGAGGAAGCCACGGCUAACUACGUGCCAGCCGCCGCCGUAA
rnacentral:rRNA from 1 species